UACGGGGGGGGGCAAGCGUUUGUUCGGAAUUACUGGGCGUAAAGGGCUCGUAGGUGGCCAACUAAGUCAGACGUGAAAUCCCUCAGCUUAACUGGGGAACUGCGUCUGAUACUGGAUGGCUUGAGUUUGGGAGAGGGAUGCGGAAUUCCAGGUGUAGCGGUGAAAUGCGUAGAUAUCUGGAGGAACACCGGUGGCGAAGGCGGCAUCCUGGACCAAUACUGACACU
rnacentral:rRNA from 1 species